rnacentral:rRNA from 1 species
UACAGAGGGUGCAAGCGUUAAUCGGAAUUACUGGGCGUAAAGCGUGCGUAGACGGUCAUGUAAGUCGGGUGUGAAAGCCCCGGGCUCAACCUGGGAAUUGCAUUCGAGACUGCAUGGCUAGGGUGCGGAAGAGGGAAGCGGAAUUUCCGGUGUAGCGGUGAAAUGCGUAGAUAUCGUAAGGAAGACCAGUGGCGAAGGCGGGUCUCUGGACAGUUCCUGACGCUG